AUUGAACGCUGGCGGCAGGCCUAACAUAUGCAAGUCGAACGAGUGGCGGACGGGUGAGGAAUGUCUGGGAAACUGCCCGAUGGUGGGGGAUAACUACUGGAAACGGUAGCUAAUACCGCAUACCAUCUGUUUUGCCCAGAUGGGAUUAGCUAGUCGGUGGGGUAACGGAUCACCUAGGCGACGAUCCCUAGCUGGUCUGAGAGGAUGACCAGCCACACUGGAACUGAGACACGGUCCAGACUCCUACGGGAGGCAGCAGUGGGGAAUAUUGCACAAUGGGCGCAAGCCUGAUGAAGCCAUGCCGCUUGAAUGAAGAAGGCCUUGGGGUUGUCAAGUACUUACAGCGGGGAGGCGUUAGCCGCAGAAGAAGGACGGACUAACAGCGCGCCAGCAGCCGCGGUAAUAC
rnacentral:rRNA from 1 species